rnacentral:rRNA from 1 species
CUACACACACGCUACAAUGGCCAACACAAUAGGUUGCUAAGCCGCGAGGUGGAGCCAAUCCAUAAAGUUGGUCUCAGUUCAGAUUGUAGGCUGCAACCCGCCUGCAUGAAGAUGGAGUUGCUAGUAACCGCAGGUCAGCUAUACUGCGGUGAAUACGUUCCCGGGGCUU